rnacentral:misc_RNA from 1 species
GCUCUAUAGAUGGUGAGGAGGUGUCCAAAUAAUGUAUAUUUAGAAAUUAACUCCUUUUUGGGGUUAAAACGGGGGUUCGUAGGUUGACUCACUGAUCACGAAAUCUCCGAAACUAUAACACCUACAAACUUGAAAUUCAGCAGGUAGGUUCCUUAUAGGGCGUAAACAUCCGCUAAGAACAGGUAUUUACGUAUGUAAUGUAGUGAGUUUGUAUAUGUUUAUGUAUGUGUACAAGUGUAUUUUUGUAUUUUGGUAUGUAUCUAUACAUGUAU